rnacentral:rRNA from 1 species
UACGGGGGGAGCAAGCGUUGUUCGGAAUUACUGGGCGUAAAGGGCGCGUAGGCGGACAGUUUAGUCAGAGGUGAAAGCCCAGGGCUCAACCUUGGAAUAGCCUUUGAUACUGACUGUCUUGAGUUCGGGAGAGGUGAGUGGAAUGCCGAGUGUAGAGGUGAAAUUCGUAGAUAUUCGGAAGAACACCAGUGGCGAAGGCGGCUAUCUGGACGGUUUCUGACGCUAAGACGCGAAAGCGUGGGGAGCAAACAGG